rnacentral:miRNA from 1 species
CCGGUAGACACGGAGCUGAUGGCGGAGCGCGGCGCCGCGCUGCAGAGGCAGCGAUGCGAGGGAGUGUCACUGUAGCGACCGCCCCCUCCCGGCGACGAGUGG